rnacentral:rRNA from 1 species
UACGGGGGGAGCAAGCGUUGUUCGGAUUUACUGGGCGUAAAGGGCGCGUAGGCGGCCAGCACAAGUCAGUUGUGAAAUCUCCGAGCUUAACUCGGAACGGUCAACUGAUACUGUGCGGCUAGAGUGCGGAAGGGGCAACUGGAAUUCUUGGUGUAGCGGUGAAAUGCGUAGAUAUCAAGAGGAACACCUGCGGCGAAGGCGGGUUGCUGGGCCGACACUGUCGCUGAGGCGCGAAAGCCAGGGGAGCGAACGGG